rnacentral:lncRNA from 1 species
GAGUAUAGCCAGAGAUGGUCUAGAGACUAUGAGAUGCAUAGAUUGUGAAAGUGGAAAGAUGAGAUUGAGAUGUGAGACUGGAGUCAGAUUUAAGGCAAGUAUCCUAAACCUUUCUCUUGGAUAUAUUGCAAAUAUUCUGAUCCAUUCCUUUGGUAUAUGUUUCAAGUAUUCAUACCUUUCUUUUCAAUGUUCGAAAGUGCGAGUAUUCUGACCCAUUCUUUCUAAUCUUCAAGUUUCUAAAGAAUUUCCGUUUUACAAAUUAAUUCGAAGUUCAGAUUGUCAUUGAAGCAUGUGUUGCUCAGUGAUAGUUAGAGCUUUGAAUGAAUUGGGAUCUUCUUGAUUAUUCAACCCGCCAUUGUCAUGCUGGUUUAGCAGGCUAAAUUCAGUUGCUUAGCCGAUAAUGGAGGAUACUGAAUAGUUGAGGAUUUCCUGAACUGUGAUUUAUGAAAUGAUGGAUCAUGAUUUAUGAAUAGAUUAUUAUCAAAGUUUGAAUUGGAAUUAUUCUGUUGUUGAUGAUAUUUAUGAUGAUGUUCUGUUGAUUUACAUUGGCUUCUUGAAUUGAAUUAGAGAAUUGGAUUAUUGUUUUUAUAUAAACCUGUGGACCAGAUUCGUGGUCAUGUUAGGCCAAUGAGUGCCUUGGAUCCAGUGAUAGAGCAUGGCGGGGCCUGCUCGGGGUUAGGUAUGACUGAUCAGCAUCCUGACCUUGGUUUUUAAUUAAAAAUGUGAUAGUCCAAUUCAAUAAUUCUCUUGUGAAGGAUUGAAUUCCUCAGGUUUCUAUUGCUGCAAGGUAUUGUGAUUCUUUUAUACAAUACCUAAAUUUGUGAACUCAGGUUGAAUCUUUUUAUAUCUUGAACUCGAGAAUUUCUGUUAUAUCACUUCAGAACUUUCAUUGUUAUUAUUACUUGCUGAGCAUUGUUGCUCACUCUUGCUAUUCUCUUUUAACCAUUUCAGAAAAGCUUAAAGAUGAGAUGAUUGAUUGAGAUUGUGGAUAAGGCUAAUGCUAGGCGAGGAGACAGAGUUGAGGAGGAGACAGAGUUGAGGAUCCAGUGGUCAGGGAGUGGUGAGGAAAGUUGAUGAGAUUGGUGCAAGCUGGAAUAGUUGACAGUGAUUCUUCUUAUCGAAGAUGAUCUGACUUGGUAAGAAAUAUUGUAUAGUAUUAGUGGUGGAUUCUAAUUUCAAUACUGUAACCUGGAAGCGAUCCUGUUGUUUUGGGGGUUAAAUGUUCUCUUAAAAUUUUCUUAUUAUGGUUUUCAAGUUUGAAAUUCAGGUUUUGAAAUCAUUUGAUUUAUGUUCUCAUUCAAAGUUUUUAUUAAAUGUUUUCAAGUUUUAAAUUCUUUUGGAUUUUCAUUAUCUUUAAAUGAAAAUACCAGGUUUCAAAAGUAUUUUAAAAAGGGUUUUGUGUGGUGACGUCAGAAUCCAGACCCCCGGAUUCUCGGAAUGUCACAGUAUUAGUAAGAGAAUGAACAUGCAUAAACUGACUGAUAACAAAUAUUUUCUCCGUCUGUUUUUAGUUGUCACAUUUUAUUUUUGCUGGUUAAAUUGACUGAGUUUUGACCAAAGAUUAUAAAUUUUGUAAAUUCUUUAUAAAAAUAAAUAAUUAUCCUAUAUUCGAUAUAUCUUCUGUCCCAACAGAUUCUUUACGUUAUUUUUUAAAAUGUAUUUUAAAAUUCCUAUAAAUACAAUUCUAUAAUAUAAAAUAUAUGAUUAUAUAUAUAUACACACAUAUAUUUAUAUAUAAUAUACAAUAUAUAUUUAUAUAUAUAAUAUACAUAGACUACCGCAAAUGUAAACCAUCCCUUAAAUACAAACUAAAAACCAAUCCAAUUUAAAAUGUAGCGACAUUCUCUUUAGAAUGUGUGAUUUGUGUUACAAAAUUUGGUGAAAACAUCCUGAAAAUGGUGAAAACCUCCAGAUAUGUUCUUGUUGUCAAUUCAAUUGGUGGUGGCGGUGGCGCAGAGAGUGGAGGUGAAGGGGGAGGCGGAGGUGGUGGACAUGAAACGAGUUUUUGGCUCUAUUCGACAGAUUCCGUAAAAAUAUAGAAGCGAAAUUGGCAGUAAAGCGAGGACAAUGGUACUCGAGGUGCAAACGAUCGUGGUGAGGUGGGGGGACGGUAGGUGAGGUGGAUUUGGUGGUGAUAAGGCGGGGGCGGGCGUUAUUAGGUGGUCCCAAUACCAUAACUUUAUCAUUACUAGUGACUACUUAACACCAUCACACACCUAUUCUCAUCACUUACUAUUAUUAUUAACGUCCUACGACUACAAUUGACCAUCAAUAAUCGACAACAGAUAAUUAAAUUAAAUAAUUUUUUUAUCAUAGAAAAUAAAAAUUACUAAUUUUACCGUGUAAAAUGGUGAUAAUGAAGUAUGAACAGAUG